GCUGCGGUGGUGUAGUGGUUAACGUUCUCGACUUUAAUUAUUUAGGUGACCCAGGUUCGAAUCCUGGUGGAGUA
rnacentral:tRNA from 1 species